UAUAAACUAUAUGGAUGGAGUUACGGGACAUUAAGAAAAGAUAUGAGAAAGAAUAUAGAGUGUGAAAUUUGCUAUAUAAAUUACUUGUUAUAUAAAAGUUGAAUCUCACGAUCCAACUUUUUAGAACUAUGCCACAACUUUUAUGAGGCCAUAAGUUUUUCUUUUGAAAUCUGCAGGUUAUAUGAUUUGUACAUGGCGGUGUUACUGAACAGAAGGAGGUAAUUUCUUCGCUCUUUCUAUUGAUUAAUAUUGUUCUUCACUCUUUCUAAACUAUUGAAUUUAUUAAUAUUAUUCUUGCACAAAUUAAUUAAUGAUUAUAUCAUCUUUUGGUCACUCGAGUAAGAUAGAACAUGAUGAUCCUCUCUUAAUUUGGUUUCUCCUCCGCUGAAGAAUAUAGGAAUCACCAGCAGCCCUUCUCUAGUUCCGAGGAAGUGCUCAACCUAGACGUUGUUGGCCGAAGGAGGGGCGGAGCAGGUGCCAGUCAAGUAGGCGGCUCAAUGGGUGGGAGAUGGCAGCUGCCGAUCUCACACGGCUCAUGCGCCCCGCGACCCUCCCCUCCCCGGCUAAGUAGGAGGUUCGAGGGCAGCGACUAAGGAAGGAGCACAUCGGCGAUGAGGGCUAGCAAUAGCAAGACAAUUGCCAGGUGCAAUCGAUAUGCCGCCACGUCGGCCCUUCACGCGCGCCCGCCAGGGCUCAGAUCGGCGAGACCCGUGCCAAUGCACGAGGUACAAUAUUGGUUAAUUUUCCAUCUCCAAUCAGAUUAAUGGUUUGCAUGCAGACCAAGCCCAGUGUUUUAUGGUGUUCUUAUUCCUGAUUUAGUUGUACAUUUGACUUUUAGUUUCUUCAUAGAUAAUAAAGUAGUGGCAGAUGAACCAAGUCCAUGGUAUCAUACGAUUUGAAGUUGAAAAAAUCAUGCUAUGGGUGAUACGGAAAAGUCAUUGCCUUCUUUGCUGGAACAUUUCCUAAGAUGAUCUAAGGUGAAGCAUUUAUGAAUAUCCUCGCUGAUCUAUGGAUCUAUCAUUGUAAGAGUCGAUAAUAUAUGGUGAGCUGCCUCACACCAUCAUUUGGUCUUCGUAGCAUUUGAGUUGGCAAAUUUGUUGGAUUCAUGCGAUU